CAGUCGCCGCGGGAAUACGUAGGGUGCGAGCGUUAAUCGGAAUUACUUGGCGUAAAGCGUGCGCAGGCGGUUAUAUAAGACAGAUGUGAAAUCCCCGGGCUCAACCUGGGACCUGCAUUUGUGACUGUAUAGCUAGAGUACGGUAGAGGGGGAUGGAAUUCCGCGUGUAGCAGUGAAAUGCGUAGAUAUGCGGAGGAACACCGAUGGCGAAGGCAAUCCCCUGGACCUGUACUGACGCUCAUGCGCGAAAGCGUGGGGAGCAAACAGGAUUAGAUACCCGUGUAGUCCCUGUCUCUUAUAC
rnacentral:rRNA from 1 species